rnacentral:rRNA from 1 species
GUUUUUCGCUUCAAGAUGAGCUCGCGUGAGAUUAGCUAGUUGGUGAGGUAACGGCUCACCAAGGCGACGAUCUCUAACUGGUCUGAGAGGAUGAUCAGUCACACUGGAACUGAGACACGGUCCAGACUCCUACGGGAGGCAGCAGUAGGGAAUAUUGCACAAUGGAGGAAACUCUGAUGCAGCGACGCCGCGUGAGUGAUGAAGGACUUCGGUUCGUAAAGCUCUGUCGUAUGGGAAUAAGAAAGUG